AGUUGAGAACAAGCGUUUAGGGAAUCCGAAACUCGGGGAACCCCGGCGAUCGUCUACUCUCUGCCCCCGUACAAGAACUCGCACACCACACAUCACACGAAUACACACACACGCACAGACAUUCACACUCCUCCCGCCGUGAUUUGCUUCCGGGGAAACAAGUCCGAGAGGACACUCGCCAAAAGUCACGCAGCGAGGAGUCGGAUAGAAGCAGGAUUUAAAAUCUCACGGCUCUGGCCCGGGAGCUGGGCCUAUAUCCUGUGUAGCCUCUAGGAAGCGCUAGACACAUGUCGUCAGCUUGGAUAUAGUCGUAUGCAUCUACAUCACAAGUGGAGUAAGGAGGCAGAAAUGAAAAACCACCCGGAAAUGCAAGAGGCCUGUCUGAAUGGAUGUGGCCUGGAGGAGUCCCUAGGAGCAGAGACCUGGCCCCUGACUCACCCUGAGCUGUUCCCCAUCUGGCUGAGGCUAGCCCAGGAGCCGCCCACCUCUCCCGCGCCCGCCGUUGUCUUCUUGGCACAGACCUCCGACUGCAGGCUUUGGACUCCAGGCUGCAGAAUUACUCACUCUCUGAUUCUUCCUUUGGCAUCUGCCAGAAUCCAGGAUGAGGGCUUUGUAUUCUUUCCUUCUCACUGGAGCCAAAGCUGGAUUGCUCUCCCAUUUCCUCCGAGGACCAGGAUCCGGCAAGAAUCAUCUCUGCAUUUGAGAGACGAGGGAGUAGUCAAACACCAGUUCUGGCUCUAUGCCUCCGGAGGAAGACUUAGUCACUUGGUUACCACUGGCUGAAAUUGAUCGGAGAUGUCACGGGGAGGAAAUGCACUUCCUAUGAGUUUGCAGAGCCCGGUCUUCCAAAAAAAAGGCCUUUUUACUGUACAGAGUAAGUUAGUGGCAAAUUGAUUUCCUCUUCUGAGAGUUCUGACUUGAAUCCCCUAGAUGCUGCCGUUAGCAGGUUCCCUUCCCACGGAAGUCAUGGGAGGCAUGUGACAAAAAUGUAGAGCUGGGGAGAAGCUAAAUUAGAUAUUUCACACACAUUGUAUCGUUUUAUUCCCACAACAACCUAAAGUCAUUGUCCUCAUUUUUCAAGGGUUGAAAAAUGUACAACUCAGAGUGGUGUCUGCGUUUGUCCUCACCUGUCCAAGGUCACACAGCAACUGGCAGAGCUGACAUAUGGACCCAAGUCUGGCUAAUGCCAAAGUCACAGUAGGGAAAGAAACAGCUUUUCUGUCUGAUUCUCUCUCUCUGUUGUCCUUUUUCCUCUCUUUUCCAUUUGUCACCUUCCCUUAUCCCCACCCUCCAAGGAGUCAGAGAUUUUCCCAAGGAUUGAAUAACACAUCACACUGCCUUGCAUACAGUAGGU